GAUCCUGGCUCAGGAUUAACGCUGGCGGCGUGCCUAACACAUGCAAGUCGAGCGGCAGCGAGUUUUACACUGAAUUCUGGAAACUUCUGGUAUAAAUAGAAGAGUUAUUCAAGAAUUUUGUGUAAAAUGUCGGCGAGCGGCGGACGGCUGAGUAACGCGUGGGAAUGUACCCCAAAGUGAGGGAUAACGCACCGAAAGGUGUGCUAAUACCGCAUAUGAUCUUCGGAUUAAAGCCUUCGGGCGCUUUGGG
rnacentral:rRNA from 1 species